rnacentral:rRNA from 1 species
CCUACGGGUGGCAGCAGUGGGGAAUAUUGGUCAAUGGGCGCAAGCCUGACCCAGCAACGCCGCGUGAAGGCAGAAGGCUUUCGGGUUGUAAACUUCUUUUCUGAGAGACGAAGAAAGUGACGGUACCUCAGUAAUAAGCCACCGCUAACUACGUGCCAGCAGCCGCGGUAAUACGUAGGUGGCGAGCGUUAUUCGGAUUUAUUGGUUGUAAAGGGCGUGUAGGCGGGAAAGCACGUCAGAUGUGAAAACCCAGGGCUCAACCCUGAGCCUGCAUUUGAAACUGUUUUUCUUGAGUGCUGGAGAGGCAAUCGGAAUUCGGGGUGUAGCGGUGAAAUGCGUAGAUAUCAGGAGGAACACCAGUGGCGAAGGCGGAUGGCUAGACAGUAACUGACGCUGAGGCGCGAAAGCGUGGGGAGCAAACAGGAUUAGAUACCCGGGUAGUC